rnacentral:rRNA from 1 species
UACGAAGGGGGCUAGCGUUGUUCGGAAUUACUGGGCGUAAAGCGCACGUAGGCGGAUUGUUAAGUCAGGGGUGAAAUCCUGGAGCUCAACUCCAGAACUGCCUUUGAUACUGGCGAUCUUGAGUCCGGGAGAGGUGAGUGGAACUCCGAGUGUAGAGGUGAAAUUCGUAGAUAUUCGGAAGAACACCAGUGGCGAAGGCGGCUCACUGGCCCGGUACUGACGCUGAGGCGCGAAGGCGUGGGGAGCGAACGGG